AACGAACGCUGGCGGCAUGCCUAACACAUGCAAGUCGAACGAAGCCUUCGGGCUUAGUGGCGCACGGGUGCGUAACACGUGGGAAUCUGCCCUUCGGUUCGGAAUAACAGUUAGAAAUGACUGCUAAUACCGGAUGAUGACGUAAGUCCAAAGAUUUAUCGCCGAAGGAUGAGCCCGCGUAGGAUUAGGUAGUUGGUAGGGUAAUGGCCUACCAAGCCGACGAUCCUUAGCUGGUCUGAGAGGAUGAUCAGCCACACUGGGACUGAGACACGGCCCAGACUCCUACGGGAGGCAGCAGUGGGGAAUAUUGGACAAUGGGCGAAAGCCUGAUCCAGCAAUGCCGCGUGAGUGAUGAAGGCCUUAGGGUUGUAAAGCUCUUUACCAGGGAUGAUAAUGACAGUACCUGGAGAAUAAGCUCCGGCUAACUCCGUGCCAGCAGCCGCGGUAAU
rnacentral:rRNA from 1 species